UGGACCAUUAAGUCAGAGGUGAAAGCCCGCGGCUCAACCGCGGAAUUGCCUUUGAUACUGGUGGUCUUGAGUGUGCUCGAAGUUGGCGGAAUAUGACAUGUAGCGGUGAAAUGCUUAGAUAUGUCAUAGAACUACCGAUUGCGAAGGCAGCCAACUAGGUCACAACUGACACUGAGGGACGAAAGCGUGGGGAGCGAACAGGAUUAGAUACCCUGGUAGUCCACGCCGUAAACGAUGAACACUAGGUUCGGGGGAAUGACCCCCUCGGUGUCGUAGCCAACGCGUUAAAGUGUUCCGCCUGGGGAGUACGCACGCAAGUGUGAAACUCAAAGGAAUUGACGGGGGCCCGCACAAGCGGUGGAGUAUGUGGUUUAAUUCGAUGCAACGCGAAGAACCUUACCAGGGUUUGACAUCCUGCGAAUCUCUUGGAAACGAGAGAGUGCCUUCGGGAACGCAGUGACAGGUGGUGCAUGGCU
rnacentral:rRNA from 1 species